UGUUACAAUUGUUGCAUUACAAUUCCUAUCUAACUUUAUCCGCAACCAAAACACCCCCUAAGGCUGUUGCGCUACUCACAAUAGAGAACAAUCAGAACAAAACGGAUGAAAAAUCUUUAGUUUUUUCUCAAUAUCCAAGUACAGAAUGUGCUGCCUCCUAUAAGCUGUUAAAAACUACAAUAGCAGCAGAAACUCUGCAAUAAUUAAUUUUGAGGCCACAAG
rnacentral:misc_RNA from 1 species